ACAAAUAGUCAAGGGCAAGGUAGUUAUUGCUCACAGAAAAAGAGGAAUUUGUUUCGGAGCUACUUUUUGGGAAAAAAUUCAAGCGCAGCUGUUCUAUGCCAGCAGGAACUUCCCUGUAAACGAUAUGGAUACAAACUCCAUAUAAAUUGUGGUGGAGGAGAAGAAACUAUAGGC